rnacentral:sRNA from 1 species
AGACCCACCACUCUGAAUGUAGUGCACACUUAAGAAUUUAUAUGGAUCAGCGUUGAGGCUGAUACAUGUUCUUUUAUAACUUGUGACGUAGCGAGCGUUUGAGAUAUCUAUCUAAACGUGUCGUUGAGGCUAAGGCGGGGACUUCGAGUUCCUAAAUAAUUGAGUCGUAUGUUCGCGUUGGUGGCUUUGUACCCCACACAACACGGCAUGUAGCUCCGAGGCAACUUGGGGUUAUAUGGUCAAGCGAAUAAGCGCACACGGUGGAUGCCUAGGCGGUCAGAGGCGAUGAAGGACGUGGUAGCCUGCGAAAAGUGUCGGGGAGCUGGCAACAAGCUUUGAUCCGGCAAUAUCCGAAUGGGGAAACCCACUGCUUCGGCAGUAUCCUGCAGUGAAUUCAUAGCUGCUGGAAGCGAACCCGGUGAACUGAAAUAUCUAAGUAACCGGAGGAAAAGAAAUCAACCGAGAUUCCCUAAGUAGUGACGAGCGAACGGGGAGCAGCCCUUAAGCUGGAAUGGCUUUAGAAAAACAAUCUGGAAAGAUUGGCCAUAGAAGGUGAUAGCCCUGUAUUUAAAAGGGCCACUCCAGUGAAGACGAGUAGGGCGGGGCACGUGAAACCCUGUCUGAAUAUGGGGGGACCAUCCUCCAAGGCUAAAUACUCCUGACCGACCGAUAGUGAACCAGUACC